rnacentral:rRNA from 1 species
AUUUUGGACAAUGGGGGAAACCCUGAUCCAGCCAUCCCGCGUGUAUGAUGAAGGCCUUNGGGUUGNANAGUCCUUUUGGCAGAGANGAAAAGGUAUCUCCUAAUACGAGAUACUGCUGACGGUAUCUGCAGAAUAAGCACCGGCUAACUACGUGCCAGCAGCCGCGGUAAUACGUAGGGUGCAAGCGUUAAUCGGAAUUACUGGGCGUAAAGCGAGUGUCGGCGGGUCGGAAAGAAAGAUGUGAAAUCCAAGGGCUCGACCUUGGAACUGCAUUUUUAACUGCCGAGCUAGAGUAUGUCAGAGGGGGGUAGAAUUCAACGUGUAGCAGUGAAAUGCGUAGAUAUGUGGAGGAAUACCGAUGGCGAAGGCAGCCCCCUGGGAUAAUACUGACGCUCAGACACGAAAGCGUGGGGGGCAAACAG